UGCAAGUCGAACGAACUCUGGUAUUGAUUGGUGCUUGCAUCAUGAUUUACAUUUGAGUGAGUGGCGAACUGGUGAGUAACACGUGGGAAACCUGCCCAGAAGCGGGGGAUAACACCUGGAAACAGAUGCUAAUACCGCAUAACAACUUGGACCGCAUGGUCCGAGUUUGAAAGAUGGCUUCGGCUAUCACUUUUGGAUGGUCCCGCGGCGUAUUAGCUAGAUGGUGGGGUAACGGCUCACCAUGGCAAUGAUACGUAGCCGACCUGAGAGGGUAAUCGGCCACAUUGGGACUGAGACACGGCCCAAACUCCUACGGGAGGCAGCAGUAGGGAAUCUUCCACAAUGGACGAAAGUCUGAUGGAGCAACGCCGCGUGAGUGAAGAAGGGUUUCGGCUCGUAAAACUCUGUUGUUAAAGAAGAACAUAUCUGAGAGUAACUGUUCAGGUAUUGACGGUAUUUAACCAGAAAGCCACGGCUAACUACGUGCCAGCAGCCGCGGUAAUACGUAGGUGGCAAGCGUUGUCCGGAUUUAUUGGGCGUAAAGCGAGCGCAGGCGGUUUUUUAAGUCUGAUGUGAAAGCCUUCGGCUCAACCGAAGAAGUGCAUCGGAAACUGGGAAACUUGAGUGCAGAAGAGGACAGUGGAACUCCAUGUGUAGCGGUGAAAUGCGUAGAUAUAUGGAAGAACACCAGUGGCGAAAGGCGGCUGUCUGGUCUGUAACUGACGCUGAGGCUCGAAAGUAUGGGUAGCAAACAGGAUUAGAUACCCUGGUAGUCCAUACCGUAACGAUGAAUGCUAAGUGUUGGAGGGUUUCGCCCUCAGUGCUGCAGCUAACGCAU
rnacentral:rRNA from 2 species